CGCACACAUGCCAGGCAGCAAAAAUUGAAGGGUGCCCAUCUUAGUACCCACUCUUUAAUUUAUAAUAAUUUUCUGUCUUUUUUCAUCUUUUGUUACUUCUUAAUUAGGAAUAUCGAUACAAAAGUCCUUUCUUCUUGAAUCCCGUAUACAAAUUUGCCGGCAAGCAAUGUUAGGCCGGAAUCUGAACGUCUCCGGUUGUGGGAAGUUUCAACGUGCGACAAUGUUCCCGUCAUAGAUUCAGGUUGUCAGGAAAGGGACCAAAUUGCCGAACAAGUUGGCGAUGCCUGCAAGAACUAUGGCUUUUUCCAGAUGAUCAAUCAUGGAGUGUCUUUGGAACAUUCUUCUCUAGAGGAUAGCAAAAGGGUCUAACCUGGAAUAAGCCAUGCUUCUUGCAGGCAUCGCCAACUUGUUGGACAUUUUGGUUCCUAUCUUGACAACCUAAAUCUAUGACAGGAACAUUUUUGCACGGUAAACUUCUCGCAACUGGGGAUGUUCAGAUUCUGGCCUAACAUAGCUUGCCGAGAAGUUCGUAUACUGGAUGCUAGAGGAAGGGACUUUGGUAUCCAUGUUACUAAUUUUUGCUGCGUGGGAGUAGCUAUAUAUACACAGAUAUGUAUGUAGCUUUCAGGAAGAUGAGAGAGCUUUGUAACACACCUUAGGUAUUCAUAUUUUCACAUGGUAGCCGGGCCGGUCCUCUUUUUGUUUUUCUUUUUUUAGGCCUUUAGGUCGUCAUUUGAUUUUGCAAUUUAAUUUUGUUAUAAUAUGAUAAUUAUUUUGGUUUACAUGAAUCAUAUAAUUAUUGUUUUUCUUAAAAUAUGAUUGAUUUGACUUACAUAA